GCCCCCGGCGCGCCCCGCGCUGUCUGGCCGGCCCGGAGGAGGCUGCGAGCGCGCCGCCCGCGGGGCUCCUCGGAGGCGGGGAGGCGGCGGGGCAGGCCCAGCCGGGCUCCCGCGGCCGGGGUGGGAGGAGGAGAGGCCGCGCUGCGCGGGUGAGUGCCCAGGAAGCAAAGGAUUGCAAAGCUCAGAGAAUGACUAGAAGAGCCCAUGAUGGAAGGACAGUGGAUCCCUGAGUUACCACUUGACGAAAGCUGCCCAGGAUGACCUCCUGACCCUGCAACACCCACGCUGGACUUUGUGAAACAAUCUGCUUGAUUCUCAUCCGGGAGCACAGGGAGGAGGGGGGCCGCCUUUAUGUCCUCUCCUAUCUUCGUCAAGCCAUAUGCAACUGGCAGCCACCACGCUUCUCUCUGUGGGAAGAGGAUAAUCAGAGCUGGAUUCCCGAAUGAAAGGAGGAACAUGCAGAGUCGCCUGCCUCUCGUCCAACGGUAGUGGAAUCCUUGUGGCCUGGGCAUCUUGGAAAAGGCACACAGAAAGCAAAGGAAAUCUUGAUGACUGUGAAACACAAACUGAAGAGAUAGCGAAGGAACCGAGAUCUUUUAAUUGAAGAAGACGAGUUAAUUGCCGACAAUUCAUUUAAGAAUUGUUUAGUGAGCAGCAUCCAUGUGCCAGCCUUUGUGCUGGGUGCUGGGAGACAAAGGCAAUCAAGACCUGGUUUCUGCCUUGAGAAGCUCAGAGACAAGAGGAUAAUCACUUUUAAGUUUGUAAAGACUGUUAUUUAGAGCUCUGAUGUUUGUGUCACUCCUGUCUAACUCCUUUGCAUCUCUUUCUUUUAUCUCCUCUUCCUUCCCUCUCCUCAUUUCCUCUUCUUUUCCGGUUUCCUUCCCUUCCAUAGACUUUAGGUCUGUGAUGGGAGCCCGCUGGCACAGCAGGUUAGCCAGGUGUAUUCAAUGGAGUCCCAUCUGAGACUUUGCAAGGAUACCAAGCCCCUCUCUUUUUCCAUUUCAAGGUAUUUCUAUAAACUUAUCUUUCAUCCUCCAUAUACUCCAAUAAAAUUGCAGGCAAUGGAGCAAGGCUGAGAGUGAGAAAAGUAAGUUCCCAGACUACUAAAUAGAUCAGUUUGACUGGAGAGAAUGCUAGAGUAGAUAUAUUAUGAAUUUUAUAAUAUUAAAGAAUUUGAACUUCCCCUUGUUGAUGACAGAAUGUCAAUGGAAGUUUGUGAGAAGGGGAGUGACAGGAUCAAUUUAGGGUUUUAGGAAGAGUAAGUUUAUUGUGGUAGAUGGAAUGGGUUAUUUGGAGAAAGACCGGAGGCAAGGAUUCCAUUAGAAGGUGGUUAUUAAGCCAUAAAAAAUAAGGACCAGAAUCAGGCAGUGGAGUUAGAAGAGGCAGAAGAUAUGUGGAGUGAGAAACACUGUAAAGGAAAAAUCAAUAAGUUUGAUGCCUAAAUAAAUAUAAGCAUCAAAGGAGAGCGAGGAAUUGAGAACAACCCAUAGGUAGUAGACAAGGAGUUUGGGAAAUGAAAAUGUCAUUAACCAAAAUAGGGCAGUGGGUAUGUGAAGGUGGUUUGUAGUGAGGGAAUCAUGAUGGGUUCAGGGCUAGACAGGUUGUCUUUGUGUUGAAGGAAUAUAUAAAUAAAAGCCAUAUAUCCAACAGGGAGCUAGAAAUAGGUUUCCCAGGAGAUCAUUCUCACAGAGGUAAUAGUGUGCUUUGGACACCUCCACCUGUAUAUCCCACUGACACAUCACACUCUACAUGCCUAAGACUAAACUCGACUGUCAUUCACAAACACAAAGCUUAAUUUGUGUUUCUCCUCAAGGUUAAUCAUGCUUUUAAACAUCCAGGCUACCAAACUCAGUGUCAUCUCUGGUACUUUCAUCUCCCACCUUUCCUCCUCCCACAAACAACUAAUCACUAAGACAAUUGAUUCCAAGAGCCAAAUAUGUUGUGUAUCAAUUCCUAUCACCAUAGUUAGUAUUUGCAUGACUUGUUCCCUCAACUAUCACAGUUUCAUAACAGGUUUUCUCGACACGUAAGUCUGUAUUUUUCCAUUGUGUGCAGAAUGAAAUUCAAAGGCUUCCAGGAAUGAACAUACCUGUCCAGCCUAAUCACUGAGAAUAUCUAUACAUCCCCAACCUGAAAAGCCCCACUGCCUUCCUUGUCUUUCUUUAAUGAUGCCAGGCAUUUCAAUGCCUGGGGUUCCUCUACUGAUGCUGUUCCACUAUUUUGAAAUAACUUUUUCCACGUAAGGAGAAUAUCUUUCAAGUUCUGAGUCUCAUACUAGUCCCAUUGUGAGGGCCUCUCUGACCUCCCAUUGCUUGUCUCUCUUCACUCAUGUUGCUUUUUUUGAAAGCAAGAGCCUGAACCAGGGACGUGGGGGUGGACAUGGGAAGAAGCAAAGGAUGUAAUAAAAAUCUAAGCAAAGGAUUAUGGGGAAGAGGGACACAGAGAAGGGAGAAAUUAAAGAUAAAAUGACAGUCUUGGCCAGCCCUGGGCGACUGGGGAGAAUUAUGGUGGACAGGAAAAAAGAGUAAUUUGGCUUUGAGCUUGUUUGGGUUGAGAUACCAGCAACGAACCCAAAUUGAGCUGAUAAUUGAAAAGUCUUAUAGAAAUGAAAAGGGUGGUUGGGGCUAGAGAAAAAUAUUUGGAGAUUAUAUGCAAAGAGAUGAUACUAGAGGCGGGAGAAUAGAGAUCUCCAGAGAAGAGUCUGUCAGAGAGAAGGUUGGUCUGAGGACAGAGCUAUAAACAUGUGACUAAUUUCUAAGAUGAGAGGAGGAAAUCCAUCUAGCAAACGAUCCAGACAAAGACUGGCCACAGAGAUGAAAUUACAUAUGUUAGUUUUCCUAAAAGUAAUUUUUUUGUCUUUAAAUUUUUAUGGGAAACUCUUAAUUUCUGAGAUGUUGUGCUUCUGACUUGAGGAAACCGCUGAUUCUCUACUCAAAUUGGGUCUCUUUUGAUUAUAAAUCUUGAUAAUUAGUGGUGUGAAAAUUAGUCAUUUUUCUUUCAAAAGAGAUAUUCCAUUCUUAUAUGAAGGUAUCUAACCAAAACCAACAAGAACCAAAUAAAUAUUAGGCUGAAGAAUUUAAAGAGAUGAGGGUUAGUAGAGGCUGGUUUUCACAUGGUCUGAUAACAUAUUGGGGAUGGGGUUGGGGGCUAGAAUAAGAUGUG